rnacentral:rRNA from 1 species
AUUGAACGCUGGCGGCAGGCUUAACACAUGCAAGUCGAGCGCGCGGCGGACGUGUGAAUAAUCUCUGAGAAACUGCCUGAUGGAGGGGGAUACCUACUGGAAACGGUAGCAAAUACCGCAUACCAUCAGAUGUGCCCAGAUGGGAUUAGCUAGUAGGUGGGGUAAUGGCUCACCUAGGCGACGAUCCCUCGCUGGUCUGAGAGGAUGACCAGCCACACUGGAACGGAGACACGGUCCAGACUCCUACGGGAGGCAGCAGUGGGGAAUAUUGCACAAUGGGCGCAAGCCUGAUGCAGCCAUGCCGCGUGUGUGAAGAAGGCCUUCGGGUUGUAAAGCACUUUCAGCGAGGAGGCGUUACUCGCAGAAGAAGCACCGGCUAACUCCGUGCCAGCAGCCGCGGUAAUAC